AAGGGGAGCCCAGAGAAGGGCUGGACUUCGGGGAAGCAAGCCCCUGCUUCUGACCCUUGGCUCCGGCUGGACUUUCCUUUGAUUCAUUUGACAAGUAGUUGCUGGCCUCUGCAGUGUGCCAGAGCUUUCUUGGAGGGGUACAGGGGUAGGAAAACCAAAAGCCACCCUCAGGGCCUCCAUCCAGGAAGGCGUGGCAUGGUGGGCGGCGAGGAAGGCUGCUGAGUCAACAAGGUGGUCCCAGGAAGGUGGAGGGAGCAUCUUCCCAUGUCUCUCCCACUGACAGCCACCAAUCCUGGACAGAUGCAGGAGCAGCUGUCAGUAGACAGAUAAGAAAAGGAGAUCAGAUUCAAAGUUCCGCAGAGAAGUGGUGAGGUAACCAGUAUUGCCUAGCCUGGACACACAGGCAGCUUGAAACCUCAAGUGCACCAACAGAAAGAGCUCCAGGAAGAAUCAGAGGAGUGGGAUGUGAAGCCCCUCGAGGUCAGGUUAUCCAAAAUAACCCAGAGUAUGAAAACCAGGAAAAUCUCAACAUGGGAGAAAAGAAGAUGAUCAAUACAUGCCCAUCCUGAGAUGAUUCAACUAUUGGAAUGAUCAGAUACAGACUUCAAAGCAGCUAUUUAUAACCAGCCUUCAGAAAGUAUUGGUGAAUAUUCUUAAACAAAAUGGAAAUGACAAAGGAUGGAGUCCAUAAAUUAGAUGAUAGUUUGGAAAAAGAUAUAAACUUACAAACCAAGAAGCUCAGUGAACCACACAACUGGAUAAAUUAACAACAAAAGUCCAAGCUUAGACACAUCAUAAAGAAACUUCUGAAAACUAAAGACCAAGAAAAAUAAGAUCAGCCAGAGAAAAACGAUACAUUUCAUUCAGGUGAACAAUUCUUUGAAAGACUGGAUCUUCACCAGAAACUAUAGAGGCCAGAAAGAAGUGGAACAUUUUUAGUUUUGAAAUA
rnacentral:lncRNA from 1 species